UAACAAAAACACAACAACAUUAACAAAAACACAACAACAUUAACGGAAACACAACAACAUUAACAAAAACACAACAACAUUAACGAAAACACAACAACAUUAACAAAAACACAACAACAUUAACGAAAACACAACAACAUUAACGAAAACACAACAACAUUAACGAAAACACAACAACAUUAACAAAAACACAACAACAUUAACGAAAGCACUACAACAUUAAGGAAAACACAACGGAAGAGGUAGGUCCCAGUGGGAGACCUAAGAAGUCGCUGAUUGGACGACAGGUCGUUUUACUUUUGAACCGGAAGUUAUGCUGGAGUGCUUCGUUUGAUUGAAAACCUAAGGAAGCGGGAAUACAGUCACUUCGCCAUGUAUUGCCCGAACUGUGGAAAGGAGGUGGUUGAGCCGUCACCAAAUUUUUGCAGUAAUUGUGGCAAGAGGCUUCAAGAAACUUGUAUGGAGGAUACUCCACAAUGUUCAACACAACAGACUGUCCCAUCCUGCCGUACACCAGCCCUCAGCACCUUCCUUGAAUAGAAAAAUGAGGAGCGACCAAAGUAUUCUCUUGGGAGAAAGGGGUUAAAACAAAAGGUAGAAAUGAAAGUUCGGGUAGGUGCUAAAUUGGGUUCCCCUGUGUCGGGAGCGAUCAUUACAGCCAGAGAGACGAAUGAGGCGGAUCUGACCAUUUUCACGUCGCUUCUGAUCGAUUUCUCGGUAAAACAACUCAUAUAAUCAUGUGAAGGUUGUAACAUUGAGUUUAAUUGGCAGCUGUUGUUUAAAAAAUUGUAUAAUAAAUAAAUAAACAAGA